rnacentral:rRNA from 1 species
UACGGGGGGGGCAAGCGUUGUUCGGAAUUACUGGGCGUAAAGCGUGCGUAGGUGGUUUGUUAAGUCUGAUGUGAAAGCCCUGGGCUCAACCUGGGAACGGCAUUGGAAACUGGCUUACUAGAGUGCGGUAGAGGGGUGUGGAAUUCCCGGUGUAGCAGUGAAAUGCGUAGAUAUCGGGAGGAACAUCUGUGGCGAAGGCGACACCCUGGACCAGCACUGACACUGAGGCACGAAAGCGUGGGGAGCAAACAGG